AUGGGGGGAUGUCCUAAUCCUUUUGCCGCAACAAGGCCGGCUAAUCGUACGCAGCAGGAGCAAGGGAACUCCCCUGGUUCAGGAAGGCACAUGAGUCCGAACGCUAUUAUGAAUGUGCGACCGACACUACACUACGUAGGUACCUGUGCAUGCAGGAGGGACAAUUUUACAUAUUUCUGCCAAAUCCUUCUAUUAUUAAGUACGGCCGGUACCAUUUCGAUGUGUUUCGAUUUUUUCGAAAAAGAGAGGUUUGAUGCUUCUGAAUUCAUUGUAUUAAUUCCACUUCCUACUCGCAGUAUGCUCUUAAUGAUCCUGGCUCAUGAUUUAAUUGCCAUGUAUUUAGCUAUUGAGCUUCAAAGUUUAUGUUUUUAUGUGAUCGCAGCAUCAAAAAGAAAGUCUGAAUUUUCCACGGAAGCCGACUCAAAAUAUUUGAUCUUAGGUGCAUUUCCCUCUGGAAUAUUAUUGUUCAGGUGCGACCGGACUACUACCGAUCAAUUUUUUGGAACUUAUUUAUCGACUUGUAGAGACCCUCUAUGUAGUUGUAAUUCUAGGGCAAUCGAUCCACUUUCCCCAUAG
rnacentral:rRNA from 1 species